UACGUAGGGUGCGAGCGUUAAUCGGAAUUACUGGGCGUAAAGCGUGCGCAGGCGGUUUUGUAAGCCGGGUGUGAAAGCCCCGGGCUCAACCUGGGAAUGGCAUUUGGGACUGCAAGGCUUGAGUGCGGCAGAGGAGACUGGAAUUCCUGGUGUAGCAGUGAAAUGCGUAGAUAUCAGGAGGAAUACCGAUGGCGAAGGCAGGUCUCUGGGCUGACACUGACGCUCAUGCACGAAAGCGUGGGGAGCAAACAGG
rnacentral:rRNA from 1 species